ACAGCAUAAAAGUCGACUUCUCAAUACUAACUAGCAUUACAUUUCUGAACUUCCAGUUAAAUAUACAUAUACAAUUCAAUUCGCAACAUACAAAAUGAUGAAAUAUUUUUGUAUUGCUUUACUCAUUACAAUGUUUGUGGAAAGUAGCUUACAAGCUAGAAGGGAUAGUGAUAUGGGUACGACCAAUGAUAUAGACCCAGAAGCCGUUGCAACACCUGCAUCCUUUGGGAUGAAAAUGAAAUCGAUGGCAAAAGAUGAUGGACCAAUGGUUCCAGAACCAGCUUCUUAUUUAAAAAAAAAUGGACAAUAGAAUCAGCCAUCACGCAACCUGCCUUGCUACUAAUGUAAUAAAUAUAUUUUUCGCCGCAUUAUGAAGUUUUAGCAAAUAAAGUUUUUGAAAAUA